rnacentral:rRNA from 1 species
CACGGAGUUAGCCGAUCCUUAUUCUCACGGUACAUUCAGCCCGGUAUACAUACCGGGGUUAUUCCCGUGCAAAAGCAGUUUACAACCCGUAGGGCCGUCUUCCUGCACGCGGCAUGGCUGGUUCAGGGUUCCCCCCAUUGACCAAUAUUCCUUACUGCUGCCUCCCGUAGGAGUCUGGUCCGUGUCUCAGUACCAGUGUGGGGGUUUCUCCUCUCAGAGCCCCUAGACAUCGUCGCCUUGGUGGGCCGUUACCCCGCCAACCAGCUAAUGUCACGCGAGCCCAUCCGUCCCCUAUGAAUAUUUAAAUGAAGGCCCAUGCGGACCUGCAUUCUCAUGCGGUAUUAAUCCGGAUUUCUCCGGGCUAUCCCCCUGGGACGGGCAGGUUGCUCACGCGUUACGCACCCGUGCGCCACUCUCACGGGGACCGAAGCCCCCGAUCCCGUUCGACUUGCAUGUAUUAGGCCUGCCGCUAGCGUUCAUCCUGAGCCAGGAUCAAACUC